GUAUUUCUUAGUGUUUCAUUUUGGAUAAUCUUUUCAAGGUUGGAGAUCUGUGGUCUUCGGGUGAAAUAAUCCAUCAUUGAUAGUCCAUCCCCAAUCAAAAUUUGAAUACCUGGAAAUAUGUUCUUCUGCUGUGGAAUUUUAGAGCUGCUUGAGUUGGCGGUAACUCUUCAGGAUUAAUAGACUUUGUAAGUAGAGCAUUAUUUACUUUCUUCUGGAAAAUGUUAUAACGCAGCCUAUCUAUUCCAUCAAUGAGCAAUCCUCCAUAUACAAUGCACAUUGCAUUUUCACCAGCUGUAUCAAUAUCUUCCUUUGUAGAUUGUGACUCAUAGAAUAUUUUAGACAAAAUUUUGAAAUCACUAUUAGUAUUUUGGAGCUUAAGUGUGGCACAUUUUCCCUUCCCAAAAGGUUUUGACGUGGUAUCACAACCAAGAAAUGCAUGACAAAAGAGAAUGGAGCUGCAUAUUUCUUUUCCUAAAGAAUCUUUAAUUUUUUUAAUAUUCCAAAGUUUUCCCACAUUUCUUGCUUUUGGAUUCACUCUUCAUGUACAUAUUGUAAUUAGAUUCCUUGCAGUAGUGAAUCAGUAAAAUUAACAAGUCUGUAUCUUCACCAACUACAACUACGUUCUUGGUAAUUGCGCAUUCCAACGCAGUAGUUAUAAUUUUCAAAUCUGCAUCUCCAUCAGCAUGUUUUACAACAAUGCCCUUUUCAUCCAACAAUUUCCCUAAUUCUAUAAGGAAUUUCUGUUUGUUUCUUUGAUUAGAAAGAGAAACUCUUCUUUGGUAACAUUGAUCUUCAUGUCAUUUGUGAACAAUAUCUCUCUCCCAACUGCUUUCGUUCUCUUUUGGUGCGCCAUGUCUUUCGUUGAUGGACCGUUGUAUCCGUCGAACACAACUAUAGUUCCUUUUCCAUAGCAUUUGAUCACGUAGUCGGAGUAUUUUGAAAAUAAAUCAAUGUAGCUAUCUUGUUUUGUCCAUGACAAGCGGUGUAGUAACCAGCCCCCAUCCAGCACAAACGUAAGCUCUUCUUCUAUAGAAAUUUCUUCUUCUCCGGGAUCAUAAGUACACAUCACAGCAAUUUCUUUGGCAAGUUCAGAUUUGUUUGCGUUUCUUAAAACACAGUUCUUAUCGAACAGUGAUAAAGGAUAUGAACUCAGUUCGUAUUUGAAGUAGUCCGUUAACGUUCCAUAUUCUUCUUUUUUGGAUGUUAACAAGACAAUGAUCCUUUGAAAAAGUAAAUUUGGGUCAAUAUUGACGCUUUUCUUAUUUGCUCCAGGAUUCGAUUUUUCAGUCAUUAAAAUGCAUUGAUCUUUCUUCCGUGCGGUAAAGGCUUCAAUAGAUGAUCCAGACAUUUUUUGAAUAAUUUUAUGUCCUACUUCUUUGGCUUCAUAAACGUUAACACUACAAACAGACAACACUCCAGUUGAAAUGUUUUUUAGUUCGUUGUGUCCUCCAUUGAAAGGAAUGUGGGGUCUGAGAUAAUUAAUUAAUGUAUGAGUGUCUGUGUAGUCUCUCUUUUUCCUUGAAUUAUUAAGCUCUUGAUGCUGCUCAGAGGUAGAAAGUUUGACUCCCAUGACAUUCUGCAUUAGUGAAUUAAUUUUAGAGCAAGUAGGUCUAGAUAAAACCCAAAUUAAUCGAUCGAGUUCCUCCAUCCCUUUUCUACGAGUAAUUCCACCUUUACAAAGAGAUUGUUGAUAAAUAUUCAAGUUAAUUAACUAAAAAUUUUCAUUACCAGUGGACUUCAUUGCUCGCAUUAGUUCUUGUUCAAUGAUAAGGUCAUGUGAUAGUCCUGCCCAGAGCUUAUCUGUUCUUCUGCCAACAUGUAAUCCGUUCAAGAAUUUUUCGUGUACGUUUUUGUUUUCAUCCGCCAAUUUCAACAUAUUCUGUACAUACAAAUAGCUUGACUUCAUGUAGUUAUUAUGCCCGGUUGCUGCGAAGAAGGGUAACAUUUUCAAAGUAGAUUCAAGGUGUAUCAUCCAGUUUCCCAUUCGUUCUGCUUUAAUAAAGUUCUUCAUUAUUGACACCAUGUCCAGCAAUUGAAUCCAUAGUUUUCCAGUCUUGCAAUUUGAAUUAUUCUUGAUAUUGUCAACGACAAUUGUCUUCAAUUUCCGAAUCGUUGCUGAUUGAUUCAGAAAAUCCAAGUUAUCCAAGCUCACACCACUCAUCAUAACGCUGUACAGACGAUUAAUUUCAUCAUAGUCAACGUCACUUAAACAUGUAGAUGUUUGAAUGUCAUCAUAAGUGUUGG